rnacentral:lncRNA from 1 species
UUGAGCUCCUAUGCUUUUAAAAGUAAGUUAUUGGUGUUUGUAAAUUUUUAGCCAUUAGAUUAAGAGAUAUGCGGUUAGGAUGAUGUGGACCCCUUAGGGUUGAGUGGGUGGUUGGUUGAAUAGUAUAAUCUAAUAAUUAAAAAUGAUCCGAUGAGUAAAUCUAACGGUAAAAAACUUACAAGCACCAUAGCUGGACUAUAUAUAUAUAUAUAGAACUAGGCUGAAAUACUAUCAAUAAUACAAAACUAUUAGUGCCAUUGAUUUUUUAGCCUUUGGAUUGAUAAAUGGGUGGUUAGAAUGAUGUGGGCCCUUUAGGGUUAAGUGAGUGGUUGGUUGAAUAGUAUAAUCUAACGGGUAAAAAUAAUCAAAGGGUUGAAUCUAACGGUGGAAAACUCGAUAGCACCAAAUCCUUGGUGCUAUCGAUUGUACCCCAGCUGGACUCAUAUAUAUAUAUGCUUAUUAUUUUUCUUCUAAAAUAUUAUUAUAUCAUCGUGUAUUUUAUUUUUACUUCAAAAUAAAUUUUGAUUAGUUGUAAAGAAGGUGAAGAAUAGGAUUUUUUUGCGAAUAGCCCCCUGAGCAAUUUUAUUUAAAAAAUAGCUCUAUCAAAAUUAAAAUUGCAAAAAUGGCCCUGUCCUUGCCACGCAGGCGUCACGUCAGCGCCACGCGGGAGUUGAACACGGUGAAUCAUUCACCGUGUCUAAACACGGUGAAUGGUUCACCGUGUUUAGUACGUAUUUUUUGUAUAUUGAAAAGUGGAAUAAGGAGUAGGGACGUCAAUAGGUAUGGAUAUCUGAAAUAUUAUCCGAAUCCAAAUCCGAAUAAAUUAUAUAUAUAUAUAUAUAUAUAUA